ACCGAAUUCUGAACAUGAGCUCAAGCUAAUCAGUGUUCAGAGGAAUCAGAGUGGAAACUACAGCUGUCGGGCCUUUAACAGUAAAACCUCAAUAAAGCAAACAUCUCAACUUGCAUAUAUCUCUAUAGUGGAAAAACAACCAAGUCUCUCUGGAGGUGCCAUUGCUGGAAUAGUAAUAGCAUGUUUGUUAGUUGCUGCUGCAGGAGCUACUGGAGGCUUCUUCAUCUAUAAAAAAAUGAAAAAAGCUAGUCCACCAUCAGCCACAAAAGAACCAGAACAUGGGUAUGUUAACAUGCCGGGAAUAAAGGGUGAUAAGAAAGAAAAUCAUGUCUAUGAGAAUGUUGCUGGGAUUAAGACCAAUAAAGAAGAAGAACAUGAGUACGAGGAG